AACCUCACAUUACCUAAAAUCAUCUGUUUAUACAUGCAAGCCUCACCACAACGGUGAAACAGCCAUAUAUCCAGAGCCGGCAUCAGUCAUCACCACAACGCCAAGCAAUAGCACACCCCCACGGGCAACACAGCAGUAAUUAACAUUAGGCCAUAAGUGAAAACUUGACCAAGCAAGAUGAGUAAGGGUCGGUUAAUCUCGUGCCAGCGACCGCGGUUACACGAUAGACCCAAGGUAAUAACGGCGUAAAAAUGACUAAAAAACAGUUAAAACUUAGGGCGGAACUCCGGCCAGGCUGAAAAAGCCAUAAGCCACACUAACCCUUAUCCCUAACACAUACAACUUUGACUCAUGAAAGCUAAGGACAAACUAAGAUUAGAUACCCUACUAUGCCUAGCCGUAACACACAAUUAAACUACCAAUUGUUCGCCAAACAACUACGAGCCAUACUUGAAACUUAAAAGACUUGACGGUACUUCAUCACGGCCUAGAGGAGCCUGUCUAAUAACCGACAAUCCACGAUUAACCCAGCCCCUUCUUGCCCAACAGUCUAUAUACCACCGUCGCCAGCUUACCUUGUAAAAGAAAUAAAGUGAGCUAGAUAGUACAACACUAAAACGACAGGUCGAGGUGUAACUUAUGAAGGGGCCAAGAUGGGCUACAUUCUCACCGAGGAUACGAAUAACACUAUGAAACUAAUGUUUGAAGGCGGAUUUAGCAGUAAGAUAAGAAUAAAACACUUGACUGAACACAACGCAUGAAGUGCGUACACACCGCCCGUCAUCCCUGCCACCACAAUAUAAACCUUAUAAACUAACCUAAAAAAUCAACAGGGCAAGUCGUAACAUGGUAAGUGUACUGGAAA
rnacentral:ncRNA from 1 species